UAUUAUGAAAAAGUCUUUUCAACUUAUAGCUUAUUUUUUUAAUGUUUAUAAUUACAAUUAUACCUUUUCAUUUUAUAAAAACAAAAGUAUUAUAAUAUGAGUUGGAUUUGAAAAAUAAAUAAUUCAAAACAAUUUUCAAAAACGAUGAUCCACAACAGGCCUUGUCAAGAAAUAGAGAUUUGGAAUGCUAGAUUGUAUUCGAUUGAGGGCAUCAUGAUGAACUUGAGCAUUCACAUAAUUCCAUAAGGUUUGGAACAAAGGCAUUUAUUCCCCUGAGAUGAGAAAAUCGAUAGUGAUCCUGAAGAUAUUCCUACGGCGUUGAAUACAACAUGAUAUUAUAGGAUCAAAGGUACCUAAUAUUGUGUAAUACGCAACUAUAUACUGGUGCGUCCUAUCUAUGCAGCUUAUUAUGUUAAUUUACUUUAAUGAAUUAUGAAUAAAUUAGUGGUUUUUUUUU